UGCCAUUGCUACCUGUGGACUGAGUGGGACCUCAGUGAACAAUUUAUUGAAUUGUGACCUAUCCAACUUAUCUACGCUAUCAUUGAGAUGACUACUUCCAGGAGGCUUCAACAUGUCCGGGCAUCCAAUUGAACCAAGGAGGAGACCACUCAGAUGCUGACCGUCUACAGUGAAGUAGAGCAUUGCAUUAGAGCCAGACCACAGAACUUCUUGAUGAUCGAUAUAUGGAACUGGAUUGUGAUGGAGCUACAACAUCAUGCAGAUAUUUACAGGACUUGAGUGCAGGUUCACUACUGCUGUGAUGACCUGAGUCAGAGAUACUGAGGAUCUUCAUUGGAGGGUCACUGAAGUGUAGAGACAGCCAGUGGAUGCCUACAGUGAUGAAGAGUGCACUAGGAGUCGGUCCCUGUGUAUCGAGCAGAGGCACAGGGAGGAGGAGCAGCACAGGAAGAAAGAUGUGUUGAUUACUUUGUCAGACUUUGUAAAUAAAAAUAGAUCUGAUCAUUGUUACAGGAUUGUUUUGCAUUACCAUGUAUACUACUUCUAAUGCAGGAAUACUCAUCAUGCAUCUGUAAGCUGAUGAGAGUGACAGAAAGAACUGAUGGGGUGAGAGGAAAAUAAUUUGGUGCAGAAGUCGAUUGAAAAAGAGAAAUGAAGGUUGUUGAAUUUACCUAUGGUGAUUUGUCUGCAGAAUAGCUACUUAAAAUAUUAAGAACUGCAUAUCAAAGCUGUCUGAUUCACAUU